rnacentral:rRNA from 1 species
GAUGAACGCUGGCGGCGUGCCUAACACAUGCAAGUCGAACGAAGCACCUUACCUGAUUCUUCGGAUGAAAGUUUGGUGACUGAGUGGCGGACGGGUGAGUAACGCGUGGGUAACCUGCCCUGUACAGGGGGAUAACAGCUGGAAACGGCUGCUAAUACCGCAUAAGCGCACGAGGAGACAUCUCCUUGUGUGAAAAACUCCGGUGGUACAGGAUGGGCCCGCGUCUGAUUAGCUGGUUGGCAGGGUAACGGCCUACCAAGGCAACGAUCAGUAGCCGGUCUGAGAGGAUGAACGGCCACAUUGGAACUGAGACACGGUCCAAACUCCUACGGGAGGCAGCAGUGGGGAAUAUUGCACAAUGGGGGAAACCCUGAUGCAGCAACGCCGCGUGAGUGAAGAAGUAUUUCGGUAUGUAAAGCUCUAUCAGCAGGGAAGAUAAUGAUGGUACCUGAAUAAGAAGCGCCGGCUAAAUACGUG